UUCCAUGCUUCCUUUUUCAAAUUUCUGAACCCAGAAAGGCCAAAAAAAAAAAAACAAACAUGGCGGCUGCAGGAUCUUUGCAGAAUCUCCUGAAACUAGGGACUAAAAUCGUCGGCGUGGGCCGCAACUAUGCAGCGCACGCCAAAGAACUCGGCAACGCCGUCCCCAAGGAACCAGUACUGUUUUUAAAGCCGACAUCAUCUUAUUUGGAAAAUGGAGGUACAAUUGAGGUUCCACAUCCAUUGAAUUCAUUGGAUUAUGAAGUUGAACUUGCUGUCGUGAUCGGAAAAACGGCUCGGGAUGUGCCUGAAAACACUGCCAUGAACUAUGUUGGAGGCUAUGCUUUAGCGUUGGAUAUGACUGCAAGGGAAAUCCAAUCUGUUGCGAAGUCUGCAGGUCUUCCAUGGACAGUUGCUAAAGGGCAGGACACCUUCACUCCGAUCAGUUCUGUUUUUUCAGUGUCCAUGGUGCCCAAUCCCGACAACUUGGAGCUCUGGUUAAAGGUAGAUGAUGAAAUACGACAAAAGGGUUCCACCAAGGAUAUGAUCUUUAAGAUUCCUUACCUUAUUAGUCACAUAAGUUCCAUAAUGACCCUUUUCGAAGGAGAUACCAUAUUAACAGGCACUCCACAAGGUGUUGGCCCUGUAAAGGUAGGCCAAAAGAUAACUGCCGGAAUAACAGGCUUGGUAGAUGUUUGCUUCGACGUUGGAAAACGCCAAAAGCCAGGGAGUACUUGAGCUUAGUGCAUCUGCACUGCUGCAACCAUUGCCUGUUGAAAGCACAAGUUACCCUUUCAUUUUCUGAUGCAAUUGCAGCAGGACAUAAAAAAUGGCACAAUCUGCCAUUGAAGCUAACCAAGCAAAAGAGACUGGACUUGGAUCUUUUCAGUAUGUGAAUGCGACACUCAGUGUUCAAGACAUGGAUAUAGGCAAGUCCCUGGUUGCUGAUAAUGAACUUCAAAGACACUUUCGCCUCUAUUGUAAAUUGGAUCGAUAGUCAAGCUGAUCAUACUAUCGAUUUUUGGUUUAAUAGAUUUAACGGGUGAAUGCCAGUUGAUCUAUGAUUAAAUAAAAGAAUAAAAAAGACCUAGAGAAAUUAAUAAACACAAA